rnacentral:lncRNA from 1 species
CCAGUAUAUACCUAUGUAGCCCCAUCAACCAGGUAUAUUUGUAACUAAUCUGUCAUGGGGAAAAAACUGCGGCCUUCAGACUCGCCACUGGUUUGGCAGAUUUCAUUAGGACCUGCAAGUGAUCAAUUACAUCUUACAAGACCAUGAAUCAGAAUAGUUACCUAUAUAUGCAUACCGCAAAAUGAAUCAUAUCUCAGGGUAGUUUAGAAACAAAACACCAACUUGUAAGUUCUAGACCCUUUGUAUUCACUUUUUAUAUAUCUAACAGGCCAGAUAGUAACAGUAUACUAAAAAAAGGAAGCAUUUCUAUUACUUAUCAACUAACAGGAAUAUAUUAUCAUCCAUUGUUGUACCUCAGACCAAAAUGGGACAGCCAACAUUCUGUAUUAGAAUAAGAAAUUAUCCAUCUGAAACUAGCAGUAAAUUAGGUGAUAGAUGACUUGCACACCGGGCAUGAUGUUUUCCUAUGGAGCCAAGGAUC